rnacentral:rRNA from 1 species
AUUGAACGCUGGCGGCAGGCCUAACACAUGCAAGUCGAACGGAGCGGCGGACGGGUGAGUAAUGCCUAGGUAUCUGCCUGGUAGUGGGGGAUAACGUCCGGAAACGGGCUCUAAUACCGCAUACUAUCAGAUUAGCCUAGGUCGGAUUAGCUAGUUGGUGGGGUAAAGGCCUACCAAGGCGACGAACCGUAACUGGUCUGAGAGGAUGAUCAGUCACACUGGAACUGAGACACGGUCCAGACUCCUACGGGAGGCAGCAGUGGGGAAUAUUGGGCAAUGGGCGAAAGCCUGAUCCAGCCAUGCCGCGUGUGUGAAGAAGGUCUUCGGAUUGUAAAGCACUGUAAGUAGGGAGGCGGUACCAAAAGAAUAAGCAACGGCUAACUUCGUGCCAGCAGCCGCGGUAAUUC